ensembl:snoRNA
GCAGGCAAUGAUGACACACUUGCCCUCACUGAGAUCCAUUACAGGGAUUGCUGCUGAGAACUUUCUCUGUACUGUGUGCUGAGCCUCA